rnacentral:rRNA from 1 species
GUGCCAGCAUCCGCGGUACUACUUAUUGGGCGAGCGUUGUCCGGAUUUAUUGGGCGUAAAGAGCUCGUAGGCGGUUCAACAAGUCGGUCGUGAAAGUUCAAGGCUCAACCCUGAAAUGUCGAUCGAUACUGUUGUGACUAGGAUACGGUAGAGGUGAGUGGAAUUCCGAGUGUAGCGGUGAAAUGCGUAGAUAUUCGGAGGAACACCAAUUGCGAAGGCAGCUCACUGGCUCGAUACUGACGCUGAGGUGCGAAAGUGUGGGGAGCAAACAGGAUUAGAUA